UUUCCGUAGGUGAACCUGCGGAAGGAUCAUUAAACGUUUCCACGUAUAUACCAAACCGCGAACUGUUUUCAAACCCACUGUGAAUAAGAUUGUAAAGGCGAUGAGCCCCGCGGGUGCAGUUAAAGUUUAGCUUUAAACCUCUAGUGAGAGACUUUAAAGCUACUCUUUCGCGAAUCGCUUGUCCGUAAGGGAGUCUUAUUUAUGGUAACUGUACCUCCAUGUUUAUUAACCAUUUUGAACCAACUUUGUAACUACUAAAUAGUUGAAGCGUAAAAACUUUAACGAUUUAUUAAAUAUAAGCACAAUUCUUAGCAACGGAUAUCUAGGCUCUC
rnacentral:misc_RNA from 1 species